rnacentral:rRNA from 1 species
GACGAACGCUGGCGGCUUGCUUAACACAUGCAAGUCGAACGGAAAGGCCCUGCUUUUGUGGGGUGCUCGAGUGGCGAACGGGUGAGUAACACGUGAGUAACCUGCCCUUGACUUUGGGAUAACUUCAGGAAACUGGGGCUAAUACCGGAUAGGAGCUCCUGCUGCAUGGUGGGGGUUGGAAAGUUUCGGCGGUUGGGGAUGGACUCGCGGCUUAUCAGCUUGUUGGUGGGGUAGUGGCUUACCAAGGCUUUGACGGGUAGCCGGCCUGAGAGGGUGACCGGCAACAUUGGGACUGAGAUACGGCCCAGACUCCUACGGGAGGCAGCAGUGGGGAAUAUUGCACAAUGGGCGGAAGCCUGAUGCAGCAACGCCGCGUGCGGGAUGACGGCCUUCGGGUUGUAAACCGCUUUCGCCUGUGACGAAGCGUGAGUGACGGUAAUGGGUAAAGAAGCACCGGCUAACUACGUG